rnacentral:snRNA from 1 species
GAGUGGGAAUUCUCUUUGACCCCUGUCACCCCAGUGCUCUCCACGGUGUAGCAGAAUGAACUGGCGGGCCAUGCUGGUGUCCGCUUCCUCAAAGGUUCAUUCCCAUCCAAAGACAGGAGGUCUGUUCUUCUGUCAAGAGUACUGAGUAGCUAGAAAUUCCAAGUAAGUUCUUGCGAUCCAUUUGGAGACCUCGACAGAGCGAAGCCCACAGCAACAAUAACAGGAAAAGAAAUACACGGUUCUAUGU